CAGCUUCAUUGGAAUCAAGAAUUGUUUGUCAACAACAUCAGCAGGGUCGAGCAGCACUUCAGAAACGCAUUAUGGCUCUCUUGCGUAAAAUAGAAAAAUGGACUCCAGGAUGUCUUCAGGCUUGGGAAGAUACAUUCAUUAAUUGGGAAAAUUCAACAAAAAUGCUUGUUUCCUACCCAAAGGCUAAGCUCGAUGAUGCCCAAAUAACAGACAGUUUUCAUCGAUCAGUCUGUAAGAGAAGACACUCCCAUCAGAGUAGUGAACAUGAAU